rnacentral:lncRNA from 1 species
UAUAAGGGUAAUUAAGUUGUCAUAAAGUAGCAGAUAGAAAGUUACCCUUGUAAGAGAACUUACAAUUGCUGUGCAAGACAUUAAAUUAUACUAAAAGAUAAAAGUUUAUUUCAAGGGAUUUCUUUGAUUACAAUUUCUCCUCCCAAUUAUGAACCUUCAGUAAAAUGCAGAUAUGGCUCCAUAAUUUCAAAUAAAAAUCUCUGUUAGAAGCCAAAAAAUCCAGAGUCUUCAAAAUCCAGAGUGGUCUACAUUCAGUCUUUGCCUGAUGUGGUUAUGCUUUUAGACUGUGAACUGCCAAUGUAAACCAAUAAAAGGAAUUGCUUAGCAUCUGAAAUAUUGUUUAAUCAGAAGACUGUGUUUUACUAUAUUGAGUAAACAAAAGAUAAAAACAGAACUAGAAAUGACAGCAGAGUAAGACAAUAUAUGAAUACCUUCAUAGGCAUUACUUCCACCUGGCAAAACCAAACAUUCUAUUAUGUUUUACUGAUGGCCAAAUUUCUCCCUAUUGUACCCUUAUCUGUAAACCUGCCUAUCUGUAACAUAUCUGACAUCUACUUCAUGUUAAAAUUGGGGGAAAAAAGCAUUACCCUGUUUAUUUCUCUAAAAUUUAAGUAGCAUCAACUUUGCAGAAGGCAGAGCAGCCAGGUUUUAUUGCUCUUCUCAAGUCAAUUGGUAAAGUCAUUGUGAAUGAGUGUUAGUUGUUAGUUUUAUAAUCACAGCCUCUAGUUUUCUGGAUGAGAAACCAUAUCCCACAUUAAGCAGAACAUUAAGAACUGUUUUCAAAGCUGCAACAUAAAUUUUUAAAUGCAAGAACUAAUUUGAAUACUCUUAAUAAAUUUUAAUCAAUAUGCUUAAAAUGUAUUUAUUUAGAUAAUAGCCUCCUUUAUGGAAAAAAGUAAGUACUAAAAAUAAAAGAAUAUUUUGGCAUUAUUUAUUAAUUCAGAUUUUCUUGAUUCAUAUUAAAUUGUAACCUAAGCAAGGCUGCUUAGACUUUGUAUAAACAUUAAGCCAAAAUGAACUUUAUUUUAUUGUUUUGUUUUUCUAUAAUUUUUUUUGCCAAACGUUUAUUAGAAUAAGGUUGUUUUAGAGUAUGAGGGUAAAAAUGUUAAAAUGACAGAUUUCAUAGUUUUCAAUUUUUAUUAAAUGUGUUGACUAUGAACAAAAUCUGAUUUACUACUACAGGUAUUUAAUAAAUUUCAUCAUUAAUUUUAUGCAAAUUGGAGAAUAAUUUGCUAAAAUGUUACAAAUACCCAAUUUGGAGACAUCUUUUCAACUCAAAUGAAAUGAGUGUGGAUAAUUUCAUUUCUCAAUAGAAUUUAAAAGUUGACCAAAAAAUUCUUUAUUUCAGACUUCUUGAUCUGUAUAACCUGAAAAGAG